UCCAAUAAUUGACAGUUUUCCAUCUUCUCCAAGAACAAGCCCAAACCCAACAUGGCUAGUUUUUGGAUACUUACUAUCAUCAGCUGGAAGCCAACCGGCUCGUUUGGCAGCCUGAAAAACAUCCCUAAGCUCUCAGCAUCAACUCCGGCAGGCAAGGUAUCUAAUACAAAGAUACGAUGAACCAUGAGUGUAAGACAUUCAGACUUACAGCAAAAAGCAUUUCAAAGUGCUCUCUUUGGCCAACAUCAGUGAGAUAUUCAGAGAAUUGCAGUUUGCAGGGCAGAGAGGGCACAACGAAGAUGAGCAGACCACAAUUAAUUCAUAGGAGUAUCUGCGAUUGAGAAGCAGCAGCAUGCAUCAACGCCACUACGAAUUUCUUCAGAUUUUUAAUUUCAUGUCUGAGAAAGACACUGUUGCUGUUGGAGAGAUGAAUGAUUAAAGUUUGUGUGGUGCUGCUGGAGUCCAAAAUCCGACAAAAAGCUAAUUUUACAUACUCCACUUUUUUGCUGAAACUCUAAUAAUUUUGCACUCAAAUAUUCAAAUAUUAUAGUAUGCCAUUUAUUUUUCAAUUAUAUCAUGAAAAUUUGACUUUCA